UACGUAGGUGGCAAGCGUUGUCCGGAUUUAUUGGGUUUAAAGGGUGCGUAGGCGGUCAAAUAAGUCAGUUGUGAAAUACGGCAGCUCAACUGUCGAGGUGCAAUUGAUACUGUUUGACUUGAGUACUGUUGAGGUAGGCGGAAUGGACGGUGUAGCGGUGAAAUGCUUAGAGAUCGUCCAGAACACCGAUAGCGAGGGCAGCUUACUAAAGAGUAACUGACGCUGAGGCACGAAAGUGUGGGGAUCAAACAGG
rnacentral:rRNA from 1 species